rnacentral:snRNA from 1 species
GUGCUCGCUUUGGCAGUGCAUAUACUGGAGUUGGAAAGAUACAGAGAAGAUCAGGAUGGCCCCUGCANUAAUAUUGAGUAAAUAAGAAAGUAUAUUUGU